rnacentral:rRNA from 1 species
CCUACGGGUGGCAGCAGUAGGGAAUAUUGCACAAUGGGGGAAACCCUGAUGCAGCGACGCCGCGUGAGCGAUGAAGUAUUUCGGUAUGUAAAACUCUGUCAGCAGGGAAGAAAAUGACGGUACCUGACUAAGAAGCCCCGGCUAACUACGUGCCAGCAGCCGCGGUCAUACGUAGGGGGCAAGCGUUAUCCGGAUUUACUGGGUGUAACGGGAGCGUAGACGGCUUGGCAAGUCAGAUGUGAAAGGCUGGGGCUCAACCCCAGGACUGCAUUUGGAACUGUAAUGCUAGAGUGUCGGAGAGGAAGGCGGAAUUCCUAGUGUAGCGGUGAAAUGCGUAGAGAUUAGGAGGAACACCAGUGGCGAAGGCGGCCUGCUGGACGAUGACUGACGUUGAGGCGCGAAAGCGUGGGGAUCAAACAGGAUUAGAUACCCUAGUAGUC